rnacentral:rRNA from 1 species
UACAGAGGUCCCAAGCGUUGUUCGGAUUUACUGGGCGUAAAGGGUGCGUAGGCGGUGGGGUAAGUUUGAGGUGAAAGCUCCGGGCUCAACCCGGAAAAUGCCUUGAAUACUAUCCGGCUAGAGGGUUGGAGGGGAGACUGGAAUUCUCGGUGUAGCAGUGAAAUGCGUAGAUCUCGAGAGGAACACCAGUGGCGAAGGCGGCAUCCUGGUCUGCGACUGACGCUGAGGCGCGAAAGCUAGGGGAGCGAACGGG